GAUGAACGCUAGCGGCAGGCUUAAUACAUGCAAGUCGAGGGGCAGCAGUCCCGCAGCAAUGCGGGAGCUGGCGACCGGCAAACGGGUGCGGAACACGUACAGAACCUUCCUUCGAGCGGGGAAUAGCCCAGAGAAAUUUGGAUUAAUACCCCAUAGCAUUACGAAGUGGCAUCACUUUGUAAUUAAAGAUUUAUCACUCGAAGAUGGCUGUGCGGCUGAUAGGUAGUUGGCGGAGUAACGGCCCACCAAGCCUUCGAUCAGUAACUGGUGUGAGAGCACGACCAGUCACACGGGCACUGAGACACGGGCCCGACUCCUACGGGAGCAGCAGUAAGGAAUAUUGGUCAAUGGACGAAAGUCUGAACCAGCCAU
rnacentral:rRNA from 1 species